rnacentral:rRNA from 1 species
GACGGAGGAUGCAAGCGUUAUCCGGAAUGAUUGGGCGUAAAGCGUCUGCAGGUGGCAGUUCAAGUCUGCUGUCAAAGACCGGGGCUUAACUUCGGAAAGGCAGUGGAAACUGAACAGCUAGAGUAUGGUAGGGGCAGAGGGAAUUCCCGGUGUAGUGGUGAAAUGCGUAGAUAUCGGGAGGAACACCAGUGGCGAAAGCGGCUACCUGGCCAUGUACUGACGCUGAGACACGAAAGCGUGGGGAGCAAACAGG